UCAUGUAUCAAAUUUCUGACCAAUAUGUCGAUAAUCACUGUAUCGUGUUAUCGCGAGAUUAUCAUUAUCGUGAGCCUUCUAUCGCAAAUUGUAUUGUAUCGUGAGGUGCCCUGAGGUUCCCACUCCUAUUUUAAAGCCAGUGAGUUGCUCUCACCUGUGUUCUAUAGUUGACCAACAAAGCAGGCAGCAGCAGGAGAAGGCACUUGAUCCCCAUGAAGAGGAAUUUUAAGAUAAAAUUGGUGAUGCCCACUGCCCACAGGACUUCCCAGAAUCCCAGAGGCUCAAUAGUUGGACUGAGGAACACAAGGCUGCGCGUGGAGUUGUAAAGUGACUGAGGGAGGAAGGUGUAGUAAAGCAAAAGGGUAGAGGAAACCAGGAGCAGCAGCAGCAAUACGAAUUGCAGCUUCACAUGUCGACCCUGUAAGACACACAAGAGUCAUGUGGCCUGACAAACUUUCAUAAUGUACCUUCACAAAAUAAAUCAUGAAAAAAGUGGUGACGAGGCCAACACCAACAGCAAGCCCUGGUGAAAGAGAAGAAGCCAUUACGAUGUCAGGUGCUGUCAUGUUUUUGUUUCUCAGUUGCCCUUUCCGACACAUCAAAGCGCGCACUGUCUAUCAGCGAUGUCGGACAAUUGCCUUGCUUACUCCUGUGUUUGCCCCCAUCUUUGAUCAUUUUGGUUUUUGUGCUCUAUUUUCUGUUGGACUUUGUGCUCCCUUAGUUUUAAUUUGUUAAAUUCGCGUACUGUUUGGCAUGCUUCCUUUUUUGUACUUUGUUAUUAAAUUCCAACCUAUUCGCUUUUUCUGGUCUCUGAGUCUGUGAUUGAGAUCCACAUAAAUGGCUUGCCGUUCAUCACAACGGAUGUCUCCUUAUGACAAAAAAAAUGUUUAUAUUUCUGCUUAAUUGACAAAAUACU